GACGAACGCUGGCGGCGUGCUUAACACAUGCAAGUCGAACGGAAAGGCCCUUCGGGGUGCUCGAGUGGCGAACGGGUGAGUAGCACGCGGGUGAUCUGCCCUGCACUUUGGGAGAAGACUGGGAAACAGGGCCGAAUACCGGAUAGGACUACGGCCUGCAUGGGGUGUGGUGGAAAGCUCUUGCGGUGUGGGAUGAGCUCGCGGCCUAUCAUCUUGUUGGUGGGGUGAUGGGCUACCAAGGCUUCGACGGGUAGCAGGCCUGAGAGGGUGUCCGGCCACACUGGGACUGAGAUACGGCCCAGACUCCUACGGGAGGCAGCAGUGGGUAAUAUUGCACAAUGGGCGCAAGCCUGAUGCAGCGACGCCGCGUGGGGAAUGACGGCCUUCGGGUUGUAAACCUCUUUCAGUUGGGACGAAGCGUAAGUGACGGUACCGACAGAAGAAGCACCGGCCAACUACGUGCCAGCCGCCGCGGUAA
rnacentral:rRNA from 1 species